rnacentral:piRNA from 1 species
UUCUAGUUUCAGUACAAAUGGUGGCGA